CAUCUUGGGCGGCUGAGGCGGCAGCCCGUGCCUGAGGGCGGCUUCGAGUUAGACCGACUUUAGGGGCAAUGUGUGUCCCCAAAAUGUCCCCAAAGCCGUGUGUGACUGUACAGACAAAACUCCUUUGUGUGCCUCGUGUGCCCCCGCUCGGAGUAAUCAGAAACGAGCGUUUUGAGACCAUUAUAAUCGGCCUAAAGGGAUGGAGAUGGCCGAGUUCCUUACCAAAGGUUUCUGUGUGAUGUUCUGUUAAUGGUGGAAUUAUUAGUACUGGAAUACUGUGGCCUCCCCCAUGUGGCAGUCCCCACCGUAUGAAACAAAUGGAUCUGUUGGAGCAGAUCCAGGGGAGGACCAUGAAGAUGAUCUUUUAAAGAAAGUCAGAAUUGGGGUUCAGCCUGGAGAAGGUGCCAGGGAUACCUUGUUGCAGUGUUUCCAGAUAUAAAGGAGGAUUAUGUGUAAGAGAUCUUUUUACCAGGGCCCAUAGUGACAGGACAAAAGCCAAUGGUUUCAAACUGAAAAGAGGGAAGGUUUGGAAAAACCCUGCUCAGAAAAACUGUGGAUGUCCUGUCCUUGGAAAUGUUCCAGGCAGAGUGGAGGGGGUUUAGAGCAAUCUGAUCUAAUGAAAGAUGUCAGUACCCACGGUUUGGAAUAGAUGAUCUUUAAAGAGAUUUUCCAAUCCAAAAUAUUCUAAACUAUGACACAGCCCUCAUCCUGUCCAACAACCAUUCCCUGCGCUGCCUCAGGAGAGGUUUGUGGCCAUGGAAGCUUGAUCGGGGGGUCCUGAGGCCAAAGGACUGUUUUUACUAAAUCCCUCCUAAUCAGAUGUCAUAACACUUGGAGCUGUUUGAACAAAUUCACCAGGAGCUUUUCUGUAGAGCUGCUGGCGGAUGAGCCCUGGCUCUGUAGGGUGCCCUGCAGAUCACCUACAAACACAACAAAAAUGGGAAAAUGCAGGGAUUCAGUGGCAGCAGUGGCAGCCCUGCCUCAGCCAUCACCACCACAGGCUGCUGUGUGCUGUCCUACAUUUUUUGCCCUGAGACCCUGACUUUGUCAUCUGUGCUCUAAUGGGGUAGCUACACAAGUCACUUUUAACAUCACAUUUUUAAAUGGUUCACCAUGAGAUGUUUUAUUUGAUCUGUGUUAAUUUUUGUGAUUUGUUUGCCUGUGGUCCCGCUCUUGGUUACACACUCCAAAUUGUACAGCCAAGGAGUUAAGUUUGGGGCCACUUCAUGAGACCUCAGCAUCAUCUCUCUGCUUUACUUGGGCUUUCCCUGGAUGCUGCCUCACCCAGCCUGCUCUGGAGAUGAUACCCUUUAUCCUGCCCGUUUUACUGCUGUCUGAGUUGAUAAGCAGAAUCUGGGGCAUCCUGGGAGGAAAUAGUUCUAUGGGAAAAAAUCAAUCAGAAGGGUUUGGGCUGUGGCACAGAGUCAGAGCACACACGAGCCUCUCACCUCCCGAGCCGGUCGCCGAUCCAGCCCACGGUGAAGGAGGAGACCAUGCCUCCAACAGCAAACACCGACACGGACAGGGACCAGUACAUGAUCAGCCCCUGAUGGGUUCAGCAGCCAAGCUACAGCACUCAUUGGAUGAUGCUCUCAGUCAGCCAGGCUUCACAUGAGCACAAAAUGUACUUUCUACAGAGGAAGAGCAAGAGAAAAAACAACAAAGAUGAGUGUAAGACCACUAAUCUUUGCACUGGUCUCCAGAAAGGUAAAACUUUAACUGGGAGAGGAAAGUUCAUUACAUUAAGCAGGCUUUGAUUCCCGCCACAGCACCUGCAUUCCCCUCUAGGGCUGGUGUAGCUGUGACAGGAAGGGCCCCAAGGCUGAGCUUUUUAGUUUUCCCCAAUAUUUGUCCUUCCUGCUGAGAUCUUUGCCAAUGGUGUUUGUUUGCUCGCCGUGUGUGGAUACCCAGGCAUUUACAAGCAGUUUCUUUGCAUUGCAGUUAAAUACCUUCACAAUGGGACUGUCAGGAUUUGACAAUUACCAGGCUGCUAAGGCUUGAAUCAGACAACAAAUGGGGGCCCUCACCCAAGACCAAACCUUCAGGCAGUGUGAAAACUUUGCCAGGACAGAUGUUCCCCUCCAGGAUUCCCAUGUACCCCUCAGGGAUCCCCAUCCUGUUGCAGGUGCCUGGCACAAAGAGCUUUCCCUCCCUUUUCUUCCCAGACUACUGGAACUGGAGGGAUCAAAGGCCACCAAACCAGGAGCAGGGUGGCCUUCCCAUGUCCUGCCCACUGCUGCUCAGAGCAGAGCCCUCCCGGAAUCCGGCUGCCUGGGGAUAGGGUGUGGAGCAGCUGGACAGUGCUGGAGGCACGGAUGAACAUCACUCACCUCCGCAGGAGCAGCCCUUCCACUUCCAUGGAAACUGUGGAUGCCAAAGGCUGGAAGCCCCACAGCCACACAUAUCCCCUGGCCAGGUCUGCUGGCAAAAGGCAUGGAGUUAUCCCAGGAUUUUUCCACCUCUCCCUGGCCCCUCUUACCCUCCCUGCCAGGCAAGAUGCUGCAACCCAGUGCCAGGGCUGCUUCACCUCUGCCUUUGAGCCCCUGGCUGGUGUCAGCUGGGCAGUGACACUCUCCUCCACAGCUUGGCCCCAGGCAAUUUAGUAUUUAACAUAUUGAACUCUCAGUGGCACUAACAGACUGUGAUUCUCUGAACAGGGGGCUGGAUGUGGAUGUGGUGACUAGCAGAGGCCAGCUUUAGGCUGGUCCCAAGGCUCAUGGAUGGCAAAGGUUGAUGUGUAAAUCUUCCUCUCACUGCAAUCACUUUCCAAAGGGGAUGAUUGUUGGCUUGGUGGAGAGAAGCAGAGUGUUCCUACAGGAUAAAGAACCAGGCCUGGCUCCACCAGGAUGAAUGACCUACCAUAAAACCUCUUGCACAUCUGACAGCCAGUUGUGAUCCCAGUCCAGAGGGUGCAGAGUGGUACAGCACAGGAACACUGACCCAUCCCAUGGCUGGAGAGCCUGGCCAGGCAGUGUUUAUGUGAUUGGCAAACAACAGGGUCUGCAUUAUUGCUAAUGCUUUAUUUAAAUAAUAAAGUGCAAGGACUGUGCAUAAUGUUAGACAGAAUUGCCACGCUUAUUGCCUACUCUGUGUUGUGUGUAGUGUAAUUGGUGGUGUUGAUAAUCUGUGUGUGAUAAAAGCAAGGGGCUUAAGUUUAUGGUGGGGCUCUGCUUUUGAACAGCUGAACAUGCUUGUCACCUCAGUGGAAGGAAUUCAAAGAUUCCAGAGGGGCUGUGAGGCUAUACCCAGGUGACAGGGCAAUUUGCACAUCCAUUUUACUGCUCUGGGUCAUUCAGAGACAGCUUUGAUGUUAAAAAAAAAGGAAGAAGUAUGCCAUAAACCAAAACAAAACAAAGGAAAAAAGGUAGAUCUGGUCUGCAAGACACUGUCUAUCAAAGAGCAGGCUGAUGCAGCACAUCAGUGGCUGGCAUGAAACCAAAAUUAUGUUCUUUCAUUUCUCUUCUCUAAGCACAUCAGCUGGGGCAGGCAGCAGUGCUGAGGCCACAUGUGAGACAGCAGCUGAGGCUGAUAAAACACAUUUAGGAGAGAGAAUUCGGUGCAUUUACAGCACUGCUGUAAAGAUACCAGAGGUUAAUGAGCCCCUUCCCACCCCCCAGCUCUGGGUGGUGCAGCAUCUCCCAGAAGAGAAAAACUGGGAAGCAAACCCUGCAAACCUCCCGGCUGCAGGUCCCAACUGCAGCACAGGGCAGGACACGGAUGCUGCAGGGCAGCAGAGGCUGUGACAGGUGUCCUGUGCCAGGAAAUGCAUCCUGACUGCUAAGGAAUCUCUGCUGGAUCUCCUCAGAGCCGUGCCAGGUGGUGGCUAAGCCCAGACAUAGGCAGGGUGUGACACGGAGCUCCACCCCACCCCUCUGGGAGCAGGCAGGUUCAGUCUCUGCUGGCCUGCACGAUGCUCCUGCUGGCCCCAGUCACAGAGCAUCAAACUGUAGGAGCAGGAAAAGACCUUAAGUGGGCUCACAUGGAGACAAUGAACUGCAGCUUGACUUCAACCAUUUCCAGCAACCACUGCAGCUCUGGGUUGGGGCCAGUGUCACCUUGAGCAUCCCUGCUCUGUCCCAAAAUACAUAGUGUCAACCCCCAAACCAAAGGCAAUUUGGUAAUGAUUCUGAAACAGGUUUGAAAAGAUUCAGUUCCCACAAGUAGCUGCUACAGCCUUACCUCUGAGCAUCCUUCACCUGGCAUGGAACCCAGCAUCUCCCCAGCGUGGUGCAGCCAACCAUGGCCCUUGCAUGAUGGCCUCAUGCCAGCUCUCAGGGCUUUUCUUCCAUUUGCCAUGACUCAUCCCUGAAGUUAUACAAUUUCAUAGCACUGUACAGCUGAACAAAUUUCCUUUCCUGGGCAAAAAGUCCCAGAAGCAGCAUUUUAAAAUGAGCUGCAGGUUUUAUUUCUUUAAAUGCUACUAAUAAGUAGUUUCUGAGGGCAUUAAUCAACCAUAAGCACAUUUUACUUGCAGCAAAAUAAAAGCAAAUCAAAGUUAGUAACAUUUGGAGGGGAAAUGUCUUUAUAAUAACCAUGGGUCGAUUUUGUAGAAGAGGAGUUUUCAGGUGGUGAUGGUCCAUCAAGACAUUCUUAGGCCACUGCUCACUGCUGAGCAUGUCCCACCUCCCUGCACUCAUCCUGUUCCAAAACCACCUUCCCAAGAGUCUUCAGAAAAAGAGCACAGUGACUGGGAGCCCUGAAAAUCCCCUUUACCAUGUCCAACACCCCAGGUUUUAUUUACCCAAACAUAAAAGGCAUGGCUUAAUGGUGAAGUUUUGUGUUUUAUUGUGGUUGGCACCAGAAAAGCAUUUGCUCUGUGUUAUCUCCAUACACACAUGCCAUAGACAAGACUGUGGUAAUAUUGGCUUCUCUGAUUUUUGUUUCAAAUUAUUCUGAGAUUUAAAAAAAUAC